rnacentral:misc_RNA from 1 species
GGAAGUAAAAGUCGUAAUAAGGUUUCCGUAGGUGAACCUGCGGAAGGAUCAUUAAUGAGUUGUCAUGGGGUUCGAUGCUGGCAGCCAAUUUUUGGAUGCAUGUGCUUGCCCUAACAAUCAUCUUCCAAACACCUGUGCACAUUUUUGAGGGAGUCUUGAGUUGGUUGCCGCUCUUGGGUGAUGUUCUCACAUUCCCUUAAAUCAUUAUACGCUAUUAACAAUGUUGAACGUGCUCUGUGCCGCAAGGCUAUUAAUAUAAUACAACUUUUAACGACGGAUCUCUUGGCUCUC